AAAAAAAAAAGCAAUGGGAAGAAGAAAACCUAUUGCCGCCACAACUGUAUUUGAUCAUCUCUAUCCUUGUGGCACAACAUGCCAGGGAGCACUGAGGUCUAAUCAAGAGCAAGAAGAAGAGGCAAAAAAGACCCCGGCGGCCCAGGGUAGGGGGAGGUGGCAGCAGGAGGACAGAUGGUCUCCCUCAUGGUGGCUGAAAUAAAAGAGGGAAUUAGACGACUCCAAGGUGUACACUCUGACGGCAAUUACGGCAAAUAGAUUGGAAGUGGACCUGCAGGCACCCGGGGAGGUGGCUCCUGGGGGAAGAGCUCCACCUCACUGCAUCUGGAACCUUGUAAUGGUCGGAGUGAGACAGUCCAGAGAGUGUCAUGGAGUGACAUUUACUGCCCUUUCUGUGAGGAAACAGGAGGGAGAGCCAUGACGCCCACAACCGCUUUGGUGUUGCACACAUGACAAGAAAGGACUUUCACAUUGGGAGGGACAUGACGCCAUAUACGACAGGAAAUCCUUCCGUCAAGUCUUUUAUUACCAAGCAUACUGAGGUAAUGCUUUCAUGG